rnacentral:lncRNA from 1 species
UCUCUCUUUCUCUAGCAAAAUAGCUCUCUCUCUCUUUUGCAAAAUAGAUCUCUCUCUCUCUUUUAUAUAUAGGUAUAAGAAGGUGAAUGGACAGAGGUUGUUGCCAUGGAAAUAAUUGGUGGCCAAUGAGAUUUAGAGAUUUGCCAUUAGAAGAGAGUAGAACGCAAGUUGCCCAAUCAGAUUUUAGGAUUUCGUUUAGAAGAGUAUAGAAUUUGAUACACAACAGAAGAAAGAAGUGGGUCGCAUAUAAUAUAUUAUAGGAUGCAGUUUAAGGCCGAGGCUUCAAAGUAAAACCUCAUCUUGAAUUUAGGUCUCGAAAACAUUUUGGGCAUUAGAAAUCUCUAUAAUAGUUUUAAAAUCAAUUUCAAACACUAACUAUGGAAUUUGAAGUGCAAAAAAUAUUACAGAUCUUGCAUAUCCAUGAACACUUCUUUUUAGGGUUUAAUGGAUGGCCUGGAUAAUUUAUAACAAUAUGCACUUUUUAGGGAUUGAAAUUGUAACUAUUUUCACAACUAUAAUGGUCAAGAUCGAGAUAUUCUAUUUAAAGGUUUUUUAUACUAUAAUUGCAAUUUUUGCUAAGUUCCGAGAUGAGGCUUUCCUUGUUUUGAUAGGGCUGCAGCCCUAUCCGACCAUUUUUCUAUAAUUUAAUUAUAAAAUCAUGUAGUCAACCAACUAUUUGGCCUAAAUAAGGAGAGAAGGGUCUGGACUCUUGAGAGAGCUGCCAUAUCUUUUCAUCACUUCAUUUACUGUUUUUUGACUCUAUCUAUGCAACUGACACUUUGUG